rnacentral:tRNA from 1 species
UGGGGGAUCGUCUAAUGGCAGGACGGUAGACUCUGGAUCUACUAGUCUAGGUUCGAAUCCUAGUCCCCCAGCCA